CGCGGGCCGGUGCAGCUGCCGGGCGGAGAGCGGCCCUGCCUCUCUGUGCGGGAGAAAGGCAUCCAUCCCUCCCUCCCUCCUUCCUGCCGUCCCUGCCCCUCUCCCUCUCUCCCUCCAUCCCCGGCGGUUUCGGUGACGGCAGCGGCUCCAUCCCGGCGCGGUUCGCGUCCCCUCCGAUCCGCCGUGGCUCGGAGCCCGCACGGCACGCACCGCCCGGCGCUCGGGGCAGCGGCGACUUCUCCCCCGGGUUCCGACUCGGCUCAGAAGGAGGAAAUGCAUUUUUCACAGGUUUUUCUGAGCCGACACACCGUGAUCUGCACAGCGGCCCUCGCUCAGGCUUAGCACUCCAGCACUGUAAGAUGCAAUUCUAUUAUAUACCGCAAAUAAAUCUGCUUUAAGUAAUGCAAAUCUAACUGUAACUGAUGCUUUCUAAGUCUGCCUCCUGCAACCUGAUGUUCGUGUACCCCCUUAGCACCAACAUAAAACACACAUUUGGACGCCAGCUUGCUAAUUAGUCCAACAUGUUUUGCUCUGCUUUUUGUAAGAGUGUCCUGUGAGUGUCGUAGCUGAGGUCAGAGCUGCAUCAAGCAGCUUUCCUGACAGCUAAUAGCGCUACAUUAUGACACCUUUGACUCAAGAUGUUUUGCCGGGUUUAGGAAGCAGCGUUCUUUAUUUGUUUCUCUCCUCCAUCCGCGAGGGCUGCAGGGAGGUUUCGCGGACUCUGCGAGCUCGCUGCCGCCGCUGGCCCCGGGGGGAGCUGCGUGCGGAGAGGGGCGCAGGGGAAGCUCGACUGAGCCUUCAGGAGGCUCCGUGAUCCCGAGGGAAACCCCGGGAAUCGCUCAGAGCCCAUUGCGGACGCUGCUGGGGAGCGCGGGCUCCGGGGCGCCUGGGCUGGGUGCCUGGCGGCGCUCCGGGCGGGCUGAGGCCACACGGAAACACCGCUUUACCAUUCAAAGCCAGUGUCAGAGAAGCUGGCUUUUACAUUUUACCCUGUUCCUGCUCUAGUUUAUGUUGGCAGGGCUUGCCAAAAGGUUUUUAUUGCCCGCUGACGUGAGCUUAACAAUGCGAGCUCCCCACCUCCGACCGGAGGGAUGAUAAAUUAAUUGCCCUCACACCUGCAUGGGCUUUUUUUUCCCCCUCAGUUUGAUGUUACAGACAGUUCUGUACUAAGUACGAGGUAUGGUGCAAUGCCAGGGACAACCUAUGCUAAAUUACAAACAAAUCCACCCACACAUUACUAGAGAGUAACUACAAUAAAGGCUGAAAAGCAAGUUUUAGCAAUUGGAUUAAAGCCAAUUAAUUCCUGGCACGAAUUGAAGCUAUAGAUCAAAACAGGAAGGAUUCGAUCCAGAACAUGAAGAAAAGGUGAAAAGCUGCACGUGCCCCACAUCGCAGGAAGUUCACAUUCAAGUCACAGCUAAAGUUUCUGUUUGCCUUCUCACAGCCUCUCUGAGCCAUUCGAGGUGGGUUUUAUCCUCUCAACGAGUGAGAGACAAAUUAGGGAGCUGAUUAUUUUACUCCUUAUAGUGCCCGGUGAUAACACCUCCCUCCAGAAGUUGUUCGUUUGGUUUUUUUAUUUUUUCUGCUGAUUCUGGAGCCGACUGGGACAAAUCUCUCUGUUUUAGGUGGAGUAUCUUUAUCACUCAUUAGAGGAAAUGAUCAGGAUUAACGAACUGCUUUCUGCAAAGACUUUUGGCAGACCUGCAUGGUAGAGGAAGUUUGAUGGCAUUUUCUGGCCAGGCAGCUUUACUUGCAGGAGGCCUGCAGCACUCUAGCUACACUUUACCUAAUUAUUUUUGCUAUGUGGCAUGAUUAACAGAAGGUUGAAAUUUUAUUCUGAACUGUAAACCAACAAAAAAAAAAGUGUGAGACUGUUGUAAUAUUUUCAGGUCAAAUUCUGGACUAAGUUAGCAACAAGUACCACCACCAAAGCCUGUGGAUUUUAGGCAGUAAUUAGUCACAAAGUAAGUAAUUUAUAAGCCAUCUGACUGAAUAAUCUAAGUUUUACAUAUAGAUUCCUUCUUUAUGCAGAAAAGCAACUGUAUUUGAAUAAAUAGAUGCUACUUGCAUACA